rnacentral:misc_RNA from 1 species
GAUGAAGAACGUAGCGAAACGCGAUAUGUAAUGUGAAUUGCAGAAUUCAGUGAAUCAUCGAAUCUUUGAACGCACAUGGCGCCUUCCAGUAUCCUGGGAGGCAUGCCUGUCCGAGCGUCGUUUCAACCCUCGAGCCCCCGUGGCCCGGCGUUGGGGAUCUGCCCAGGCAGUCCCCGAAAACCAGUGGCGGACCCGUUACGGGCCCUUCCCUUGCGUAGUAGCAUUCGCCUCGCAUCGGGAGCCGGCGGGCUUCCAGCCUCUAAACCCCCAUCAAGUCCGCCCCGGCGGCACCAAGGUUGACCUCGGAUCAGGUAGGAAUACCCGCUGAACUUAAGCAUAUCAAUAAGCGGAGGA